rnacentral:rRNA from 1 species
UGACGGUAUCAUUUGAAUAAGCACCGGCUAACUCCGUGCCAGCAGCCGCGGUAAUACGGGGGGUGCAAGCGUUACUCGGCAUCACUGGGCGUAAAGAGCAUGUAGGCGGGUGAAUAAGUUGGAAGUGAAAUCCUAUAGCUUAACUAUAGAACUGCUUCCAAAACUGUUCACCUAGAGUAUGGGAGAGGUAGAUGGAAUUUCUGGUGUAGGGGUAAAAUCCGUAGAGAUCAGAAGGAAUACCGAUUGCGAAGGCGAUCUACUGGAACAUUACUGACGCUCAGAUGCGAAAGCGUGGGGAGCAAACAGGAUUAGAUACCCUGGUAGUCCACGCCCUAAACGAUGUACACUAGUUGUUGCUAUACUAGAUAUGGCAGUAAUGCAGUUAACACUUUAAGUGUACCGCCUGGGGAGUACGGUCGCAAGAUUAAAACUCAAAGGAAUAGACGGGGACCCGCACAAGCGGUGGAGCAUGUGGUUUAAUUCGACGAUACGCGAAAAACCUUACCUGGCCUUGACAUAGUAGGAAUCUUUAAGAGAUUAGAGAGUGCUAGCUUGCUAGAACCUACAUACAGGUGCUGCACGGCUGUCGUCAGC